AGAGAUGUAGCUCAGUGGUAGAGCACUUGCCUAGCAUGUUCUAGGCUUGGAGUUCCAUCUCUA
rnacentral:tRNA from 1 species